AAUGAAACCAUGAGGUUAAACUCAUGACCCAAAUGCAGGCCUCUCAUUUACCACUGCCGUCUUAUCAGUGACUAAAUCGGUUGCCAGCUUUGACAGAGACAUAGACUCCUCCGGCCUCUCAGCCUUUUUUGGGGGGGGGGCAUUUUCCCUGCUCCUUACUUGUGGACCUACAGUAGUAACCCAUCGAGAAGAAGACAAAGAUCGGAUAAUAAAAAAAUCCUGUUCCCAAUACAUUUGCAAGGGUUGAGAUAAAGAAACUAAGAUAACCGAGAGUGACGCCCCUGAAUGUCAUUCUGGUCACCGGAGACAAGCAAGUGUCAAAUUGUGCCUCUCAGAAUUUACAGAAGGACUUACGCCACGAACUGGAUAAGAAAACUGGUUAUACUUUCAACAAAGUAACUAAGUAAGUACAGCAUAUGUGUGAGAGAGGAGACACUCCUCACUAGAAAAACAACAGCAUGGUCAUUUAUUCAAACUCUUCCAGCCACCUCUGUUUGUUUUGGUUAAAAAGGCCUAGUCAGUGACGAUCUGAGCUACAGAGCAUGUGACUUUGAGGGGACACCAUGUGUCCAGCCAUCACUCAACACUGGUUUCUUCUAUCCAAAUAUGGGCUGUGAAGCCUGUUUGUUGAGGGUGACUGAAUAAAAUGUCAGAUUACACCGUCAAACAUGACACAAAAGAAAGCAGUUAAUGAAAUAUCAGUCUUGGUUUUUUUUUUUUUUUAUUUCUUUGCAGUCCUUGCAAAUUCAUUAGAGUGCUAUCAUAUGUUUUGCAGAUUCACUUCCUUUUGUGCCUGUGGUUCAGUUUGACCUGAAAUAUCUGCAUUGUUUUUAUAUACAGAUUCAAUUAGUACAUUCACCAUAUGAGCAGCUUUUAUGGGUUCUGGUUCUGAUUCAGGAAUCGCUUUUUUCCUCAUUUCUUUUUUUAAAAUGUUUCUAAAUUCCUGGUCAAAUAUCAUGUGCUGGAGGCUACAAUAUCAGUCCUGCUACCAGAUCAUGUUCAACUGAUCUUCUUAUUUGGUGGCAAAAUUUGAAACAUGUUUAAAAUAAAAUGUUAAAAUAUGUUAUUAUGUGAUAUAUGUAAAAUUAUUGUUGUGUUGCUAAAUUUGAUAAUGAUUGUGUGAAAUGAUCUUGAGGUAACAGUUUUGGUGAGCAGAUCAUGCAGUUGUUUGACAGUUUUGUAAUGUUCAUGUGCAAUAUUGACUUGAGUGUACUUGUAAAAUUAAUGAUCUGA